rnacentral:rRNA from 1 species
AUGUGGGGUAGGGGAGCGUUCUGUAAGCCGUUGAAGGUGGUCUGUAAGGGCUGCUGGAGGUAUCAGAAGUGCGAAUGCUGACAUGAGUAACGAUAAAGGGAGUGAAAAACUCCCUCGCCGGAAGACCAAGGGUUCCUGUCCAACGUUAAUCGGGGCAGGGUAAGUCGACUCCUAAGGCGAGGCCGAAAGGCGUAGUCGAUGGGAAACGGGUUAAUAUUCCCGUACUUCUUACAAUUGCGAUGGGGGGACGGAGAAGGCUAGGUGG